rnacentral:tRNA from 1 species
UUUAACUGAAACCAAAAUAGAGGUAUAUCACUGUUAAUGAUAAAAAUGAGAUCACUCCUGUUAA